rnacentral:rRNA from 1 species
UACGGAGGGUGCGAGCGUUGUCCGGAAUCAUUGGGCGUAAAGGGCGCGUAGGUGGCUUCUUAAGCGUGCGGUGAAAGCCUGGGGCUCAACCCCGGGUCGGCCGUGCGAACUGGGGGGCUGGAGCACUGUAGAGGCAGGCGGAAUUCCGGGUGUGAGCGGUGGAAUGCGUAGAGAUGCGGAGGAACACCGAUGGCGAAGGCAGCCCCCUGGGCUAACACUGACGCUCAGGCACGAAAG